UUCUUCUUCGGGGACAUGUGAUAAAAUUGGAACAAUACAAAGAAGAUUAGCAUGGCCCUUGCGCAAAGAUGACAUGCAUAAAUCAAGAAAUGGUAUAAAUUUUC
rnacentral:snRNA from 1 species